UGCGAAGCGAAGCAGCGAUGUGAAGCAAAUCGCACCAAAGCCGGUCCCAGUUCGGAUAAGAGGCUGAAACUCGCCUCUUUGAAGUCGGAAUCGCUAGUAAUCGCAGAUCAGCAUGUUGCGGUGAAUACGUUUCCUGGUCUUGUACACACCGCCCGUCAAACCAUGAGAGUCGCCAACACCCGAAGUCCGCUUUGCGGCCUAAGGUGGGGGGAUGAUUGGGGUUAAGUCGUAACAAGGUAAC
rnacentral:rRNA from 1 species